rnacentral:lncRNA from 1 species
GAGCAUGCACGUGCGUUGGCAUUGGAAAUGUGGAAAGGCCAGAUGCAAAUAAAAGAGUUAGCCAAUGAAACCAAGUGUGGCAUGUGAUGAACUUCGUCUUAAGGCAUUUUAUCCUUUUGGUUGCAUGUGAAAAAUGAGGGGCCUUUUCAUCUACCAAUUCCCUGUUACAUGUAUAUUUAUUGGUUCAUACUUCAUGGCUCUACAUCACAACUUUGUUU